rnacentral:rRNA from 1 species
UACGUAGGUGGCAAGCGUUACUCGGAAUCACUAGGCGUAAAGCGCAGGUAGGCGGUUCGGUAAGUCUUUUGUGAAAGCUCCCGGCUCAACUGGGAGAGGUCAAAGGAAACUACCGGGCUAGAGUGUGGUAGGGGAAACUGGAAUUCCUGGUGUAGCGGUGAAAUGCGUAGAUAUCAGGAGGAACACCUAUGGCGAAAGCAGGUUUCUGGGCCAUCACUGACGCUGAGCUGCGAAAGCUAGGGGAGCAAACGGG